rnacentral:rRNA from 1 species
GACGAACGCUGGCGGCGUGCUUAACACAUGCAAGUCGAACGGAAAGGCCCUGCUUUUGUGGGGUGCUCGAGUGGCGAACGGGUGAGUAACACGUGAGUAACCUGCCCUGACUUUGGGAUAACUUCAGGAAACUGGGGCUAAUACCGGAUAGGAGCUCCUGCUGCAUGGUGGGGGGUGGAAAGGUUCGGCGGUUGGGGAUGGACUCGCGGCUUAUCAGCUUGUUGGUGGGGUAGUGGCUUACCAAGGCUUUGACGGGUAGCCGGCCUGAGAGGGUGACCGGCCACAUUGGGACUGAGAUACGGCCCAGACUCCUACGGGAGGCAGCAGUGGGGAAUAUUGCACAAUGGGCGGAAGCCUGAUGCAGCAACGCCGCGUGCGGGAUGACGGCCUUCGGGUUGUAAACCGCUUUCGCCUGUGACGAAGCGUGAGUGACGGUAAUGGGUAAAGAAGCACCGGCUAACUACGUG